ACUAGAUGGUUUACGUUGUUGACAGCAUUAUGUUAUUAGUGUUUGUUAGUAGUUCUUGCUUAUUAAAAAAACCGUUUAAACUUGACGUUAUUCACACUAUUCGCGACCUCAGGCUGAUGAUAAUCACAAGAUUGCGAAAAAACGUACUAUUUAUUGAAUUGUAUAACAAGAAAAAAGAAACUAAACAUCUGGAGUUCGCGAACGUGAAAUUUCCCUGUACAUCUUUGAAUGCAAGAGAUGAAUUCUUGUUUUGAACAUUCAUCGACGCAGUCGAAGUAGAAGGUCCAUGAACGUCUCCGGCAUUUAAGUUUUCAACCGAUGGCUCCCAAGUACACUUUGAUGUGGACGGUAGAGGGUUGUCAAGGGAUGAUCUUGAAGAAGACCCAGUGGUUAACUGCUCAGCUAUAGCAAUUUUGUCGCGGAGGGACUGUUCAAUAUAGCCUUCUGCUACAGUGGAUGAUUUCCAUCCCCCAAUACGUUUAAUUCCCAGAAAAUCAACACCUUUUGCCGCCAACAAUGUUGCACUGCUUCUUCUGAAUGAGUGGCCUGUAUAACUUUGCGGGUUGGGUAGUCGAAGGAAUUCAGCAAUUUUCCGAGGCAUAGUGCCAAACGUAUUCAUUCCCACUGGUUGUCGCGAGCAUUUGUUAUUACCGUAAAAUAAGAAAAAACGUUGAUGUGGAGUAUUUGGUGGUCUUAAUUCGUAAUACUUGCGAAUUACCAACAGCCAUUGCUCAUUGUUUAUAACAAAGGUGCGAUUAGUUUUAUUUUUUGUGUUGCAUAAUGUCACAACAAUUUGAUGCGGCAUGAACGUAACAUUAUCUGUCAGAAGAUUUGUAAGUUCCAUCCGUCUGCAAGCUCCAGAUAUUGCAAUGAUCAGAGCAGUCUACAACAUAAUACUAAUUUUAGAUCUUUGUUUAAAAAUUUUAUGUCUGUAUUGUAGUAAAUUACUGUAUGUAUAAAUAAAGUUAAAAUUACGUUUGUA